CAAAGUGUCUCUUGCAGUGAGGAGUCGGUGUUUGCUUCAGGCCCUGGGCUCUGUCAGCCCUAGGCCUGGCCUCCACUGCAGUACUGAGCCAAAACAGGUAUCCUCAGUCAGGCCUCAGCUUUGUUUGCUGAACCGGAGCUCCCUGAGCUCCGUGAUGGGGGCCAGUUUUCAGCUGACCUUCUCUUUUUUUUUUUUUUUUUUUUUCUUUUUCUUUUUUUCGGAGCUGGGGACCGAACCCAGGCCCUUGCGCUUGCUAGUCAAGUGCUCUACCACUGAGCUAAAUCCCCAACCCCCAGCUGACCUUCUCUUACACCCCCUCAAUAUGACAAAAAAAAAAAA
rnacentral:lncRNA from 1 species